AGCGAACGCUGGCGGCAGGCCUAACACAUGCAAGUCGAGCGCCGUAGCAAUACGGAGCGGCAGACGGGAGAGUAACACGUGGGAACGUGCCCUUCAGUUCGGAACAACCCAGGGAAACUUGGGCUAAUACCGGAUACGCCCUUACGGGGAAAGAUUUAUCGCUGAAGGAGCGGCCCGCGUCUGAUUAGCUAGUUGGUGAGGUAAUGGCUCACCAAGGCUACGAUCAGUAGCUGGUCUGAGAGGAUGAUCAGCCUCACUGGGACUGAGACACGGCCCAGACUCCUACGGGAGGCAGCAGUGGGGAAUAUUGGACAAUGGGCGCAAGCCUGAUCCAGCCAUGCCGCGUGGAUGAUGAAGGCCUUAGAGUUGUAAAGUCCUUUCGACGGGGAAGAUAAUGACGGUACCCGUAGAAGAAGCCCCAGCUAACUUCGUGCCAGCCGCCGCAGUAACAC
rnacentral:rRNA from 1 species